CCGGGAGAUACGAAGUUGCAACGUUGACGAAACAAAUUCUGACUGCUCGAGCCAACCCAGUACGAGGCACUAUAAAGUAUGAACCCAACACAACUGACCAGGAGCCAAGUUAAGGUAUUUGGCCCGUGAAAUAACGAGGCUGUUUAGCUGCCAGACGUACUUGAGUUGGCACGUCAUAAAAGACGAGGAGAAAAUGCGGCGCCUGGGUGGCUUCGUGGAUUCUGUUCUUGAUCGACUCAUUGUCAACGUAUCAGAUAACAGUUCCUUCUCGGAGUCGGCUAAGGAAGGAGUUGAAUUUGCUCUCAGCUAGCAUCACACUGCUUGGGUGAUGCGACAGGCCAGUGACUGCAAGCCAGACAAAGAGAAGCCAGGGACACCUGAGUGGAUGUAUGGAUUACAGAACCUGUUUACAACCCAGCGCGGACAGCCCCAGUCGUCAUUCACGUUCGAGAUGAAAUGAGUGAGUCGGCAUGGUGGCUCAGCAUGUUCGGUCAAGGGAAUGCCCAACCUCCGAGAGAGAGAGAGAGAGAUAAAAAAAAAGAAGACGAGUUGAACUGCUCAGUGGUGGAGUUUGAGAGGCGCCUAGCAACAACUGCAUAGAAGUGCUGUAGAUUGAUGGCAAAGAAACAGAUAGCUAGAAAAAAGAAAACUGGUUAGCAUCGCUGCCUGUGGAUGAUGGGGUUCUGGGUUCAGUUACUAAUCGGCUCAGAGACUAUUCUUGCUAGGAGUUGGGUAUUUGUGUUUCUGUAAUCAUUUCAUCUGCUUGUUAUUGACAUGCAAAUUGCCGAAGUGGCAUCAAAUACAAAGACUUGCUCCAUUUAGUGUAGUGUGAAGAGUAAGGUCCCGCAGUAAAGUUGGUACCUGACGGCAGAACCACAAGCUAAGGCCAAACACUGCCAGACACCAGCCGUGAAUGGGAGACGUGAACGAAGACCCGCCCUGAGGACGUUCUGUACACCGCCGCUGCUGGAAGUCUGAUUACGUCAGAGUGCACUGCUGCUCGCCGACUCUUUGAUAGCCUGGUCUAACAGCAGCAUCAACAUAGCUCACAUAUAGGAGUGUUAGUGUCAUUAGUCAGAACUGUGUAUCAAAGUUAAUACUUAAAUACAAUAUGAUAUGUGACUGUCACUCUGUACUGUU